GUCGAGCGGACAGAUGGGAGCUUGCUCCCUGAUGUUAGCGGCGGACGGGUGAGUAACACGUGGGUAACCUGCCUGUAAGACUGGGAUAACUCCGGGAAACCGGGGCUAAUACCGGAUGGUUGUCUGAACCGCAUGGUUCAGACAUAAAAGGUGGCUUCGGCUACCACUUACAGAUGGACCCGCGGCGCAUUAGCUAGUUGGUGAGGUAACGGCUCACCAAGGCGACGAUGCGUAGCCGACCUGAGAGGGUGAUCGGCCACACUGGGACUGAGACACGGCCCAGACUCCUACGGGAGGCAGCAGUAGGGAAUCUUCCGCAAUGGACGAAAGUCUGACGGAGCAACGCCGCGUGAGUGAUGAAGGUUUUCGGAUCGUAAAGCUCUGUUGUUAGGGAAGAACAAGUGCCGUUCAAAUAGGGCGGCACCUUGACGGUACCUAACCAGAAAGCCACGGCUAACUACGUGCCAGCAGCCGCGGUAAUACGUAGGUGGCAAGCGUUGUCCGGAAUUAUUGGGCGUAAAGGGCUCGCAGGCGGUUUCUUAAGUCUGAUGUGAAAGCCCCCGGCUCAACCGGGGAGGGUCAUUGGAAACUGGGGAACU
rnacentral:rRNA from 1 species